rnacentral:rRNA from 1 species
UACGGAGGGUGCAAGCGUUAUCCGGAUUCACUGGGUUUAAAGGGUGCGUAGGUGGGAAGGUAAGUCAGUGGUGAAAUCCCCGAGCUUAACUUGGGAACUGCCAUUGAUACUAUCUUUCUUGAAUACCUUGGAGGUGAGCGGAAUAUGUCAUGUAGCGGUGAAAUGCUUAGAUAUGACAUAGAACACCAAUUGCGAAGGCAGCUCACUACACGGUCAUUGACACUGAGGCACGAAAGCGUGGGGAUCAAACA